rnacentral:lncRNA from 1 species
CGUGAACCAGCGUGGCCUUAACCAGCCAUAGUUAUGAUAUUAUAAGACCUGUGGGUGUCUGCCUGACCUGUAGUCUGAAGAUGCUCUUUCUGAAGUCUUAGGAGGGCCCCUCAGUGAGGAUGCCCGAAGCUGAAGGCUUUACUUCUGUUUCAAGAGGAUCCAAGCGGCUCCCAGCACCCACGCCAGGUGGCUCCCAAGGACGUGUAACUUCCCUUCCAGGGGAUCCAGGUACACAAUGCAGACGCAACAUAUAAUCAAAAAAAUAUAGAUGUAUAAAAAGAAGCUGAGGCUAGCUCCUUCUCCCCACGCUCCUUCCCUCCCAACGGGAAUGGCAGGGGCUUCUCUCAAACCUACUUUACAUGUACUGCAGCC